GAGAGGUGUGUUUAAAUCCUAAACAUUAGGCCUUCUUUUAUAAGGGAAAAUCCCCCCCAACUCUACUUCUCAACCGACGUGGGACAAUUUGACAUCUUCAACAAGGGAACCGUCACGUUUUGCAAUACCCAUGCAUACAUUUGAAUGGGUCGUCGAUACCUUCAGUAUUGUCGAAAAAGUUACAGAGAACAGUGAAGAAGAAUCAAUGUUACCGUUGCCUACGAGAUUAAACAUGGUGUCCUUUGCCGAUAUCGAGAAACAGUUUCCAGGCGAUGAAUUCGACCUGGUGGCAGUUGUGGCAAAUUGCGGUACCAUGAAAUAUCAAGGGAGCGAAAACAGAAGAUUUCAAGAGGUUAUUCUUAUAGACGACAAGAAAAAACCUUUUCAUUUUACUAUAUGGGAAGAAUUGGCUGACAAUGGUGGAGCUGAACUACUGCAAUAGCUACAUAGAUAUCCUGUCAUUGUUGCAAAACGAAUAGUUGUUUCUAACUUUAAACAAGGGCAAAGGACAAGAAGGAGAUGCUAAUUGAAUACACUCUCAAAAGUACAUCAGAAUCGCCUUCGACACUAAAUGUUGCACCUUUUGAAGAUGAAAUAGUUCCCAUUUCAAGCAUUCCUUCACAGUACACUGUGAAUAUAUUAAAACAUAUGACUCAGGCUUUGCAUCGAUUGUUCUUUUGCUUCUAUA